AACUGAUACUACCUGCGGGAACCUGCGGAGGGAUCAUUAUUGAUUCUAUAAUGGUGAGGCGGGAAAUGUUGUGCUGGCUCUGAUAAGGGGCAUGUGCACGCAUAUCCUAUAUAGCCUUGCCAAAAACCCCUCAUUCACACUUUGUGCACCUGCUGUAGGUCUGUUAAUGGACCUAUGUCUUUUCAUAUCUUCCAUAGUAUGUUUAUAGAAUGUUAAUUGGGAUGAUAUAAAUUAUACAAC
rnacentral:misc_RNA from 1 species